rnacentral:rRNA from 1 species
UGGGGGAUAUUGCACAAUGGGCGAAAGCCUGAUGUAGCGACGCCGCGUGGGGGAUGAAGGCCUUCGGGUUGUAAACUUCUUUUGCUCUGAACAAGGCAUGCUAAUGGGUGUGUUGAGUGUAGGGGUUGAUUAGCGCCGGCUAACUACGUGCCAGCAGCCGCGGUAAUACGUAGGGCGCGAGCGUUGUCCGGAAUUAUUGGGCGUAAAGGGCUUGUAGGUGGCUGGUUGCGUCUGUCGUGAAAGCUCAUGGCUUAACUGUGGGUUUGCGGUGGGUACGGGCUGGCUUGAGUGCAGUAGGGGAGGCUGGAAUUCCUGGUGUAGCGGUGGAAUGCGCAGAUAUCAGGAGGAAUACCGGUGGCGAAGGCGGGUCUCUGGGCUGUUACUGACACUGAGGAGCGAAAGCAUGGGGAGCGAACAGG